AGUGGCGGAUGACUUGCUUUUGUCUAUCUCUGGGGUUGUAAACCUUUGGUUGGCUGGAAAAUGCCUUAGUGAAUUAGGAGAAUACAUUUCUAGCGCACCGUUGACACCAUUUCUUAAGCCGGGGAAGGUCUUAGGCCCAUUGCAGUUGGUACGGUUUGGCGUAGAUUGGUUUCCAAGGUGGAUGCUUUUGCUGUUGGAAAGGACAUGACCUCUUAAUUAGGAGACUACCAAUUCGGGGUUGGUGUUCCUGUAGGAGGGGAAGGUAUUUUACAUGCUGUAAAUCGCCUUUCAGAGAUAAAGGGCCAUUCGGACAAAAUGUCAAUGUUCCUAAUUGACUUUUCUAAUGCUUUCAAAAUGGUGAGCAGAUCUCAGCUCAUUAAGGAAGUCCGUCUUCAUUGUCCAGGUAUUUCUCGUCGGGUAGAAUUUUGCUACUUACGUCCGGCUAAGCUUUAUUAUACCCAUUAUAUUUUGUCUUCUGCACUUGGUGUGCAACAAGGUGACCCCCUCGGUCCCUUGUUAUUUGCAUUGACUCUUCACCCUUUAGUGAAGACUAUUGCUUCUCGUUACACACUCGAUUUGCACGCAUGGUACCUGGAUGAUGGUACAAUUGUUGGUGAUACAUUGGAGGUAGCUAAGGCUUUGCGUAUAAUUGAAACUGAAGGACCAAGCAGGGGGUUACACCUCAAUAUAAAGAAAACAAAAAUAUUUUGGCCUUCUCUUGAUCCCAGGAGUACAACAGAUGGUAUUUUCCCCUCAGAUAUUGGUAGACCUUCUAAGGGUGUUAAACUUUUGGGUGGUCCAGUGAGUUUGGAUAUGGACUUCAUUAGCGACAUGUUGUUGAACAGGGUGCACAAAACUGUUCAAUUAAUGGAUGCGAUCGAAAAAAUCAAGGAUCCUCAAAGUGAGAUGCUUUUACUUCGCAACUAUACUGGUGUGUCUAGAAUUUAUUUUGCAAUGCGAACUACCAAUCCUGCUGCUCUACAACCUGCCACCGAUCUUUAUGAUGACCAGCUAUAUCAGUAUUAGAGGCUUCUAAUUACUGGGGAUGGUGCGGGUUUUGGUCCUCUACAGAAGAGAUUAGCUACCUUACCUAUUAAAGAUGGUGGACUUGGCAUCUAUACCAUGGCUGACACUCGUGCUUACUUUCUUCUUGCUUCUCAGAGCCAGACUACUUCAGUGCAAAAAGCGAUCCUUGGUGAUUUAUUCUCAACAGACAGAGGUUCAGCCUACCAGUUGGCUCUUCAGACCUUUACCCAGUCAAGAAGCAAAUCCCAGACCAAUUUCAUAUGUCUGCAAGAGAUUCCGUCCUAUGGAAAUGUAACCGUGUCAAGCAUGCCCAAGAUUAUCUUUUGGCGGUGCCCAUUAGUGGGCUUAAUCAAUGCCUCGGGCCUCGACAAUUUAGAGAUGUGCUUUGUUAUCGUCUUGGUAUUCCUCUGUUUGUUGACAAUAGUUUAUGCCCAAGUUGUAACAAAUCUAUGGACAUUUUUGGAGAUCAUGCGCUUCAUUGUGCUAAGGAUAUUGGAUAUAAGUUUCGCCAUGAUGUUGUUCGUGAUGUUAUCAUUGAUAUUUGUUACAAAGCCAAUGUGCCUGUGCGCAAGGAGGUUUCUCUCGGUCUUCGGACAAAUGAUGAGAAAGAUCUAAAGCCCGCUGAUAUCCUUGUUCUUAACUGGGAAAAUGGGAAAUAUGUUUGUAUGGAUGUUACAGGUGUGUCUCCAUUCACUGGUGAUGGUGUCCGCUCCUUUGUCCCUGGUAAGGCUAUUUCUGAUGCGGUUUCUCAUAAACGUACCAAGUACCUGGACAAGUGUGCUGCACAUGGAUAUGGAUUGGGUGUUCUGGCUUUUUCUACCUUAGGGGAACUUGGUGAGGAUACUCUGUUUUUUUCAAGCGUCUAAAGAAUUGUUUAUUUAGCAAUGACACUAGUAGUGGCGUAGGUAGUUUCAGUUUUUAUAGAUUAGGUGUUGCUAUUCAGAGAGGAGUUGGAGCCCAGCUUGUCGCUAGAUUACCAACCAAAAGUUUUGUAUGAUUUACUUUUUGGUUUUAGCAUUAU